GGAGACCAUCUCUCUGGAUUCCAGAAGGCAUGAGGACCCAGAUGCUAUACAGUGGGAAAACCAGCCUGGCAACAUAGUGCGUAUUAAUAAAAGGACACCACAUCCUGCCAAAUUCCAGCUGCGCUAAUUGUAUUGUGUUCACAGAGCUCACAAGCUAUCAGAAAGUUGUAUGGCAACCACCUCCGGCGCCAAAUAGAACUGGCAGACAUAGACAUUCAGUACAAGAAGAAUAAGAUGGAAAAUCUUGCACUGGAGUCCGAAAUAAAAAAGAGGACAAUUAGGAAACUGGACCUUGAAAUAAAAAAACUUGAGAGGGAGCUCCAAGAAGAUGACACAGCUCAAAAUAAAAAUUAGCAAUCAGUACA